GUGCCGGGCACAUUUAUACAUCUGGGUGAGAUUGCAAAUUUGGUUUGCAUAUUACAAAUGCUGUGAGCUGCAUAGUUCUCCUAAGCAAGGAGGUGGACUUCAUCCUCCUUACCACUUUCACCCUUGCCUACCCCAGGGACUGUGUUACAAGGUAACAGAAUGGAUUACAUUUAUUAAAACAUGAUACCGUGAGUUUAUUGUGACACGUUUUUGUCUGAACACUGCUGAAGAAUAAAAAAAACAAUUUACUAGUUUUUGUACUAAGUAUAGAAAUAAUGGCCAUUCGUGCAGGUGUUUGGAACCUAAAUAUUUGCACCUGAAAAUAAUAGAAACCAUAUUACCUUAGUAAAAUUUAAGGAAAAUAUAUUUUAACAUAAUGAUUAAAUCUUAUUUUAAUGCAGACCUAAUAUCAGAUUCAUCAGUGAGUAAGAAUCCCGAUUCUACACAAAGAAAUUGAAUUGAUUCUGUUUUUUUCAAGAGAUGAAAUUGCUUCUUGUGGUUAUGAAGGCAGGUAUGGAGAAGCUAAGUGAGUUCUAU
rnacentral:sRNA from 1 species